GGAAAAGUUACCAGUUAUAAGUUACAAGUUGUCUUUAUUAAAUUUCCCAGGAGUUUAGCGUCAUGUGGAUUUCAUAACGAGCCCACCGUUUAACGGCAGGAAGGACUCACCUGGACCAGGUGGAAGCUGAAUUAGUGAGGAUGACUCCUGCUCCUCUCAUCUCUAAGCUCCUCACACAUCUUUACCUGCACAUGAGGAAAAUCACUCCUGUAGAAUGCAGAUGCACAAUGAGGGACAUCUGCAGAGACUGAGAAAGAGUCUCACCACAUCCUGACAUGAGGAAAAAGACUUUAUUGAAGACUACAA
ensembl:lncRNA